rnacentral:rRNA from 1 species
AUACGUAGGGUGCGAGCGUUGUCCGGAAUUACUGGGCGUAAAGAGCUCGUAGGUGGUUUGUCGCGUCGUCUGUGAAAUUCCGGGGCUUAACUCCGGGCGUGCAGGCGAUACGGGCAUAACUUGAGUACUGUAGGGGAGACUGGAAUUCCUGGUGUAGCGGUGAAAUGCGCAGAUAUCAGGAGGAACACCGGUGGCGAAGGCGGGGCUCUGGGCAGUAACUGACGCUGAGGAGCGAAAGCAUGGGUGGCGAACAGGAUUAGAUGCCCUGGUAGUCCAUGCCGUAAACGGUGGGCGCUAGGUGUAGGGGUCUUCCACGACUUCUGUGCCGUAGCUAACGCAUUAAGCGCCCCGCCUGGGGAGUACGGCCGCAAGGCUAAAACUCAAAUGAAUUGACGGGG